rnacentral:misc_RNA from 1 species
CUGCUUCGUGCACGUGUUAUGUUGCCUUACAAAUGUCCGCUACAAACACUGCUGUUUUACAAAUAUGUAGAAUAUCAUGAAUAUGUAGUAUUUGUGCCUGGCGAGUCCCCCAGACAGAGAAAUGUCACUGUUGAAACCUAGACUUUCACCUGUUUUAACCCAAGAUGUUAUAGACACAUUGAGAAAACAAGGUGUGAGAACUGUGCUUGACUUCUUGGAACACAAUGCAGAAGAAAUGGUGAAAAAAGCUGGCAUGUCCUACAAGGAUGUACUUGCUAUAAGACAUGUACUUCUUGCUCAGUAUUCGGCUGUCCCAGUCAAUGGAGCAGAUAUGUAUGAAGAUGCCUUAAACUCAAUGGCAAUUCUCCCAACAGGGGUAAAGAGUUUGGAUACCAUGUUGGAUGGAGGUUUAUAUACCUCUGAGGUCACAGAAUUAGUGGGACCAGCUGGAGUUGGGAAGUCCCAGCUCUGUAUGUACACGAGUUUGAACAUUUCUCGCAAUCUAAAACAGAAUAUAAUGUACAUUGAUUCUACUGGAGAUUUCUGUAUUCAAAGGCUUCAAGACAUUCUCUAUUCUGAUCAGGUGGAAGAUGAGGAGAUAAUCGAUGUACUUUCAAGGAUAAAGUGUUCUAGAGCAUUUGAUAUAUUUGAAGUAUUGGCACAACUCUGUGAGGUCACAAAUCACUUGACAGCACAGACAAAUGCAUUCUAUCAGCAUUUGAAGUUGGUGAUAGUGGAUAGCUUGCCAGCUGUGGUUUUGCCAGUCCUUGGUGGAGCUCAGACAGAUGGGCACGGAUAUUUAAUGCAUUUAGCAAGAAUGAUGAAGACAUUGGCUGUAGACUUUAACUUGGCUUUAAUGACAACAAACAAUGUAGUGCAGGGAGAAGCUGGGGAGACCAAACCAGCCCUGGGACGUGCAUGGAGUCACAUACCUAACACCAGGGUGGAGAUAAAGAAACAAGACAUUACACCUGAUGGUGAAAACAGGAGAACAGCUGUACUUACCAAAUGCUCAAGACAGCCCACUGGCCUGACAGCAGAGUUCACAAUCACUCCAUCUGGCAUAGAAACAUAUCACAGCUGACAGCAUGUUACAGAGUAUCAGUAUUUCCCAAGGACAAUUUAGGAGAUAGCACAUAUACUAAAGCAAUAGCGUAUGGAUGGUCACGUCCACAAAUUCAAGCAAAGUUAUUAAGCUGGCCCCAACAAAUAGUCCCAGGGAUCCACCAAUG